GAAACCAACAGGGAUUGCCCUAGUAACGGCGAGUGAAGCGGCAAGAGCUCAAAUUUGAAAUCUGGCUCCUUUGGAGUCCGAGUUGUAAUUUGUAGAGGGUGCUUUGGUGUCGGCUAUGGCCUAAGUUCCUUGGAACAGGACGUCACAGAGGGUGAGAACCCCGUAUGUGGCUGCUAGCCUUCACCAUGUAAAGCCCCUUCGACGAGUCGAGUUGUUUGGGAAUGCAGCUCUAAAUGGGAGGUAAAUUUCUUCUAAAGCUAAAUAUUGGCCAGAGACCGAUAGCGCACAAGUAGAGUGAUCGAAAGAUGAAAAGCACUUUGGAAAGAGAGUCAAAAAGCACGUGAAAUUGUUGAAAGGGAAGCGCUUGCAGCCAGACUUGCUCGUAGUUGCUCAUCCGAGCUUUUGCUCGGUGCACUCUUCUGCGAGCAGGCCAGCAUCAGUCCGGGCGGUUGGAUAAAGGCUCUGGGAAUGUAGCUCUCUUCGGGGAGUGUUAUAGCCCAGGGUGUCAUGCAACCAGUCUGGACUGAGGUCCGCGCAUCUGCUAGGAUGCUGGCGUAAUGGCUGUAAGCGGCCCGUCUUGAAACACGGACCAAGGAGUCUAACAUCUAUGCGAGUGUUUGGGUGUCAAGCCCGGGCGCGCAAUGAAAGUGAACGGAGGUGGGAACCCUUCGGGGCGCACCAUCGACCGAUCCUGAUGUCUUCGGAUGGAUUUGAGUAAGAGCAUAGCUGUUGGGACCCGAAAGAUGGUGAACUAUGCCUGAAUAGGGUGAAGCCAGAGGAAACUCUGGUGGAGGCUCGCAGCGGUUCUGACGUGCAAAUCGAUCGUCAAAUUUGGGCAUAGGGGCGAAAGACUAAUCGAACUAUCUAGUAGCUGGUUCCUGCCGA
rnacentral:rRNA from 1 species